UUGUGUUUGUGUGUGUGUGUUGUGGUGUUGUGUGUGUUGUGUGUGUGUGUGUGGUAGGCGGCAGUAGCCGUCUAAGUCAGUCGAAAUGUACUCACAAUACAUUUCCGUUUUAAUAUUUAUAUUUUCAUCAUUAUUAAGUAAUUGCAAUGUCAACAGUCAGCGGUUAAAAGAAUCAAUGUAUGAAAAUAUUGACGGUUCAUAUGCCUGUUUUCGGCGUUUGAAUGGCACACAUCAGUUUGGAUGCACAUCUGCUCGUUCAGGUAAUGUUGGAGUUGUUCAUAUUAUUGAAAACCAGUCUGAUGUAGACUGGCUAGUAAAGGAUGCCUUGGCACCACCAUAUGUUGCUGUAGUGCAGCCUGCUAUGUUUUCAAAAUCUUUACUGCUAUCUCUGCAGACCUCUGAAAAAGUAAAUGGAGUGGCUGUAAUAAACAAUGGGUUUGUUGAAAGACCUGAAUCAUUUACACAUGAAGAUUCAUGUCCUAAUCGUUACUCCGGAUUAUCUCUACGGCUGGGUCAAACAUGUGGUAUUCAAGAGCAGAGUGUGUGGAAUCCUAGUGGUACAUCUAUCCUUCUAAUGGAUUGGAAAUUCCCCAUCUUCUAUGUCACAGACCAAUCUCAAAUUGACCAUUUGUAUAAUUGUUAUAGAAAACAUAAUGUGGUUACUCACCCUGCUGACCAAUUGGAUAGAGCUUUGUGUGCCUUAGAACUUCGAUCACACAUGUUUGCAUCUGGAAACUCUAAGAAAUGCAUACAGAGGAACUCAUAUAAGACUCUUUUCUCUCAAAUGAGCUUUUGUGACCCACUUGGUGGACGAAAUGUUUGGCAAACAUUAUUGCCUCGUUCAACUAAAAAGGAGUUCAGUCUACGGACUGAGAAGCAAAUGGACAGUAAUGGUUCUAUAGCUGUACUAGCUGCUCGCAUGGAUUCAAACUCAAUGUUUGAUGGGUUGGUUCCAGCAUCUGUAGGAGCAGUGACAUCAAUUGUAACUUUAAUUGCUACUGCUGAACUUCUUCAAAAAAUGAUAUCUCAAUCAGAUAGCUAUGAAAAUAAUGUAUUGUUCCUCUUGCUCUCUGGGGAAUCUUAUGAUUAUAUUGGCUCCAGCCGAAUUGUUUAUGACAUGAAGCAAGGAAUUUUCCCAGUAAUACCAGACCCAUCUGUUGCCCAACCACCUCCAAUAGGAUUGCACCACAUUGGGCCAUUUAUUGAGCUAAGCCAGCUGAGUAGGCCUAAGCCGGGUGAAUCACUUCAUGUACAUCGGUUGAAUGCAUCCACUGAGACCAACAAGCUAAUAUCCAACCUUCAAAGAUAUGGUAAACAUUGGGACAUUCUAUUCAAAGACUUACCCCCAUCCAAAAAUUUACCUCCAGCAUCAUUGCAAACUUUUCUGGCAGAAAAACCAGAUAUUCCGGGGAUUAUUUUAACAGAACAUCCUAUGCAAUACACAAACCGUUAUUAUCACAGUGUUUUUGAUGACAUCAAUAACUUGAACUUCAAGUAUGCUAAUGGAUCACAAGUACCUGAUGAUUCCAUUCAAUCAUUCUUAACAAACUUGACAAACACUCUUGCAAACUCUCUAUUUGAACAUGUGUCUGGGAAGCCUUAUCCUGGUGCUGCUCUUGCUGACCCUGCUCUGGUGGAUGAAUUACUCUACUGUUAUUUGGAGCAAAGCAAUUGUUCCCUGUUUCAAUCUGCUGGCAAUUCAAUCUCCCCUGCCAAGCCACUUUCAUAUUAUGUUGGAGUUUCACAUGUGCCAACGCCAGUGCCUGUGCUAUCAGGCUCUGCCUUGGCAUUGCUGACUGGCAGUCCAACAUCUUAUAAUGAGACAUAUUGUCACAAUAAUGUAUCUACUGACCAGGUUUACCAGUACAUUUGGGCAAGCUCCAAAUGGAAUGAUUCAGCCAGCCCCAAAGUAUGUCUCCAGACAACUAUGAACUUUUCUGCUGCUGUUAGCCCUGCAUUUGUUAUUGAAGGAUAUGACAUGACCUCUGGUCAGUACAGCACUUGGACGGAGUCAGUGUGGCCAGAAUUAACUGCUAAAUUAUUUAUAAAGCCAUCUUUCCGGCAAGAAGUUAUGACUCUGUCUCUUGGAAUAACUGUACUUGUACUGUCAUUUGCUGGAGUUCUAUUUAUAAAAGUUCGCAAAGAAAUUCUUUUCAGUCCGGGUGGGCUACUGUCUGAACAGAGCGAGCACUGAAGAUGAGCGAGCACCACUUAUUGCCACCCAAGCCGUUGGUCAGGUGUUAUGCUGAAAACUUGUGUGCACAGAAGAUUACCAAGCACAUAGGAAUACGCUGCAAACCAAAUAUCUAUGGUCACAUUCCAUCAAAACUCCAAUGUGGCUCAGUUGUAAUGUCUUGUGUUAACAUCUUACAUUACAUUAGCUCUGGGAUAGAAAAUGAUGUUUGGUUUGCACCUCGGAAAUAAAAGGCAUUCUCUUUGCACAGAAAAUUAAUGUUCGGAGCAAAAAGAGCCAAGUCUUAUGGUUGUGCAGGCAUAGUUUUAUUUAUUUUUUCUGUGAUGUCCUUCACUUAAUUUUUUGUAUUAAUUUUAAAAAAUUGAUUUUUUAAAUUGUAAUUAAUGUUUUUACUAAAUUCUGAGCUAACAUUUUUUUCACAUUAUGUGUCCCUACAAUUAAUCUAUUUUGGUACUUUCUGAUAUGACAAAUCAUACCAGUUGGACAGUUCUUAUUUGUCCAAUUCCAAGGAUAUUUUAUGGAUGGAAUUUGUUCUACUUUAAUACUGCAAGUAAUGCAUCACCUUAAGAAACGACAUAGUUCUAGUAUUAAUGCAUUGUAUUAGUUAAAAUUCUAUGAUAACAAAAGAAAAA